rnacentral:piRNA from 1 species
UGAUGUAUCAUAACAAACACCCAGAAC